ensembl:lncRNA
AAUUCAAUAGAGGUCAUCAGUAGAUGCUAAAACCAUUAGGUGUAGGCAUUACAUACAUAUCUGGCCGCAAGGCCUGGGCAAUCAGCUGAGAAGCCAUCUCAGUGUGAGCCAGAGAGUCGUCAAGCAGCAGCGGCUGCUCUGGGUCUAACAGUAGUAGUAGAACCUCUGCUCCUACUCUGAGCCCUCUCCUGGGCUUGGUGUUGUAUCUCAUUCUCAACGCAACCAUGUCCCUUCCUCCUGGACAACGGUGCAGCAGUGGCAAGGAGAGACGAGGUCCCUUAGGGACACCAGAACAGAGAAUGCAGCAUCUGAUUUCCUCAGAUUGAUUUCCCUCUGUUUUUCUAGCUCCAUCCACUCCAGCCCAUGAAUCUUCUCCAAAAACGAGAGCAGAGCAUUCAGCAGCUAUGGGCCAUCAGUAAGGGCCAUUUAGCACUCACCCCUGCUCCAUUACAAGGCCUGUCCCAGUAGCCAGUGAAUAACUGCAUGAAGAGGCUCUCAGAUGCUGCCAACUGCCCAGGUGAGUUUGCCCUGGAAGUGAUAAACAUCUUACCAGGAAGAAACCAACAUUUAGAAUGCCUCAUAAAGAAAGAAUCCACUAAGCUGAAUAUAAGACAGAAUAAACAGGUUAAAAAAAAGAAAAAAAGAUUUACCUAUAAGGAGUAGGUACCUACAAAAAACAGGUCGUGUGACUUUAGCUCCUCCAGGAGGAAAGGCAGCUCCUGAAUCCAUGACUGUUAUAUAGGAAGAAAGGGAUACUCUUCUUUUUUUUUUCUCACCAAAUCCAUUAAGAGUUCCAAAGGUGGAUUAAUGGAGCUACAGAAUAGAAAUUUGGUAAUAGCCCACUGUCCUCACAAGAAAAAGACCUCCAUCCAUGUUGUGCAAGAAUCAGCUGACUCCCAUUACCACCCAUCCCAGUUAGGCCCUUCUUCUUCAAGAGGAGCCUAUAAACUGGCUCCUACAAUGUGACUGCAGCCCGGUCACAAGGCAGUCUGGAAGGUAAAUGUCUUGCAAAAAUAAUGCUGUAAAUUCCCUGAACUCAUACUCUUUGGCAGAAGGGAGAGAUCAUGGUGGGGAAACCAAAAACCAACUGGAAGAAAUGGAAGAGCUGACUUAGAGAAGGAAAUUGAAAUGUAGUUUGAGAGAGAGAAACUGAAAUAGAGCUCAAAUAUAAGCCAGCUAUUAGUGAGAAGAUUAGACUUAAGAGGAGAGUCCUGUAUGGACACUUGGUUUUCAAAACUUGGAAGACCAAGAAUAAACAGCUCAAACAGGCCAAUGACACUGUGGAGAGGGACUUAGCUGAUAAAGGGAAAGGAAUUCAAAAGCAUUUUGUGGACAUGGAUAUUCAAAACAAGAAGUUAUAAUCCUAAUUGUAGGACAUAAAGAUGACACAGGAUAACCCUCUGAGACAAGACAGUGCCUGGAUUUCAAGAUUUUCCAGAAAAGAAAACCUUAACUUCCAACACCUCCAAUGGCAAAAUGGAGAGCAUGUUGUCUCUGGAAAAGUAGUCACAGAGUAAGGGGACAACAGUGAGUUGACACGACAGAUGAUGUGACUAAUGGCUCUGAUUUGUUUGAUGAGAUUUUGAUGGUUACCACCACCGAGUUUGGUCCCCUUCUUUCCAUAGCCUCUCUCUCCAUCCCUGAAGCAAAGGGCCAAGAAGCCUCCACAUUGCAGUGACCCUGCGGCGUGAUGCCAGACGGGGCCACCAGAUCUUUGGGGUUCUUGGUGGAGUCGCUCAUCAUCCAGAACGUGUCCAAGUUCCGGGAGCACAGGUCAUCUGACAAGUCUGGUGCUGACGGGCAGAAACUCCCGGUGGGCCUUUGUAAGGAUGAGCCUUUUGUUGAACAGCAGGCAAAGCGACCUGGGCCCAGUUCCCAGAUCCUGUAGCGCAAGGAAGACUCGUUCCUGUGCCAACUCCAGCAGCACAACGCUGGCGUUUGCAGCCCAGAAGAAAGAAUCACGGAUGGCAUGGCGCCCAGCUCCGCCUGCGGGUCUGCUGUCCCAUGGCCAGACCCACAGGGACAGUCCCAAGCUGCGCCUUCCCACCCACGUGCAGGCCUGCUCCUCGGGGCCUGAGCAGACGCAGCAGGUCCGCGCGGUCUGCUGCUCGCGCUCCUUCUUGUGCAACUGAAAGCAACGAUCGUUGACAGUUCCAACCGUCCUUGCUCAGUGGCUGUUUUCAACUGGAAGAUCACAGUGCCCCAAGUCAAGGAAAGGCCCAAGUGAGGGACAGCAAUCGAGCUCCUGGCCCUACCACACCCAGGGCAUCUCCAACCCUUCUCCUGCUUGAGGCUAAGGAGGGAAAAAAAUGAGAGAAAUACUGAAGACAGAGAUCCUGGCAAAACAAUACCUACCACAAGGAAACAGGAAUGAAGAAGGAAAUUGAGAAUGCCGGACCUUCUAAAACCUUAAGCAUGGGCCUCAGGCCUACAGCAUCCCGUGGAAGUUUAGUAGGUUUGCACAAUUUCAGACCUCAUGCUGGACUGACCAAAUGAGAAUCUACAUAUUAACAGAUUCCUAGGUAAUUCAUUGACCACUAAAAUUUUAUGAGCGCUGAUCUACAAGAUACCUGACUGAAACUCUUCAAAAAUCAGUCUAAGGCCCAGAUGGGUUGGUGAAUUCUGCCAAACAUUCAAAGAAGAAAUUAUACCAAAUCUCUACAAUCUCUUUGAGAGGCUCCCUCUGUGUUUACCAAUACAGGUAAUACAAGGUACUUGGUUGUGCAGAGCAACAUGGUGAGGUGUGGUCUCAGCUCCAGCUCAGCCUCUAGGCUCUCUCCCCUUCACUCUCACCCUAGUCUUCCUGUUCACACACAUCCACUGAAUUCCUGGGCAAAGAUGAAGGCAGGGAGUAAAACGAUCAAGAAGUAUUUCAAAUCAAUAGUGUUCAACUUUAGCUUUUGAAAGCCUGGCUUCAAAUAAAUGUACAAUAAAUUCUUGAUCAUUCCUUCUCCCUUCAACGCUCCAUUCUGAAGGAUUUAGUGUUAAACCCAGCCUUAAAAGAGCUGAAAGGCACAGUCACCAACCUGCUUGAAAGAUAACCAAGUCGGAGGUCUCCGGGGCUUGGCCUCCAUCAGACGAGGACUGCGAGGAAGGAGAGGACUGAGGCAGUGUGGGAGAUAGAAACCAGAGGGAAGUCAAGGAUUACAAGAUAUUCCAAAUACCCAUCUGAGCAGAUUUCAAGUAUUCAGAACCAAGCAGACAACGUCCAGAAGACCUAGCUGGAGAUAUAAAGAGAGGUCUGGAGGGGAAUGUAUGGACACUAAUACCGUCUCGGAAAGAUUAAAUCCAGGAAGAAGAAAUCUAACAGAGAAAGAACACAACCAUAAAUAGUGGCUCAAAAAUUCACAGAUAUAAACUCUCAAAAAAGAAAUGUUUCAUAUAUAUAGAUUCUUUCAUUAAAGAAAAAGUAUCCAACAGAAAGUGUGACAAAGGCAUGAGGAUAAUCUUGGAAUUCCUUCCACCUGGCAUUGGACCUAGCAUCAAGGGAAGCUACGGAAGGCUUCAGCGCAAAGCUACUGCAGUGAGGCAGAAAUGGUUUACUAUUUAUUCCUAGUGAUUCACCUUGAUAGCAUUUUCUACAGGGAACGUGCUGGGCUAAUUGGAGGCACUCAGGAUCAACACUGGAACUCAGGUCUUUACAUACUGAGAGACUUACUGAAACAACAAGGGUGGAUUCCUCAGAAACGACCUUUCCAGUUCCACAUCCAUAAAGCUAAAGCUGUAGAUGUAGAAGAAUUUUUGAAUAGAGUUGAGAGAAUGUCUUUUUUAACUGAACAACUAUUAGCACUUACAAAUUCAUGGAAAAAGAACUUUUAUACACACACACAUACAUAUGCAUACAUGUAUACAUGCUCACAUAUGUAUAUGAGUAUAUAUGUAUACAUAUACAUUCGCAUACAUAUAUACAUAUCCAGAUAUAUCCCUUAAAGCAUAGCUUUGUGUUCAUAUCUAUCUAUGGACUCCACUGGUUAAUUUAAUAUUUAUUUAAUUUUUAAUUCACUUCAAGCUCUCUACUAAAAUUUAAGAACACAUUGGUAAUUGAAAUAGUAAUUGUCCCUCCUUUCAUGGAGUUUAUAUUCUACUGAAAGAGAGAAAAAUUUAAAAAUAAUCCUACAUACAUAUACUUUUGCUGUGUUUGUUGUGUUAUCACAGAAAAGUAAGGGUCAGGAGAAUCGGACUUAAAUUAAAACUUUACGGACUUUUUCACAAAGGAAAUUAUGUUUAAAAGUGAGCUCUGAAGAAGGUAGACUCAGACUUAAAGGACUUCCUGGUGGUUUCAAGUAGGUGCCCAGUGGCUGUAUGUAUAUGGCUAGAUGUUAAUUACCACCUAGGAAGCUAGUGUUGACCAGCUUCUAGCAAUAGGAAAAUGUGUGGAGGGCUAGAAGCUAUGAGAAAUAGAUAACAAAUACUCUGGAGAGCAAAACUAUAAGAUAUUUUUGACAAGCUAAGUAACAAAGUAUUAGUAUUUAGUAAUUAGUAAUAAAGUAUUUAGAACAUGAAAAAGUUUAACAGGGAUAAAGGUAAUGUUUUGCAUAUGAGUUCAAAAUAAAUUUACAGUAGCAAAGAUGGGUUUAGAAAUCCCAUGGGGUAUGAAGACAGAGGUUUGGUCAACAUCAGUAGUGCCAUGUGACUCCAAAGAAAAUGAGAAAGGAGAGAAAGGAAGAAAAAGAAAGAGAAAAAGCAAACCACACAAAACUGAAUUAAUAAGGCAGGCAAUAAUUAUUAUUAUUAUUAUCAAGAAUCAAGAAUCAAUGCUAAGCCAUUUAGAAAGAUUCAGGGCAAUUUUGUUGUGUUUUGUUUAAAUCUUAGUUCAUAAAGUUCUGAUUAUAAUGGAGAAUAGAAAGUAAUGUGUCCAUGAACCUCACUACACCUUGGUUUCCUCACACUAUGUAAUGAGAAUAACAGUAUAUCUCACAUAACAGUUUAAGUACGUUAAGUAAAGUGAGUGAGCUACUGUAUAUAUGUAUCUUCAGCACAGUAUCUGGCACAUGAAAAUAUCUAACUACAUUACAAGUAUUUCUGUAACUCUUUACAUGUACUAGCUCACUGAUUCUCACAAAAAUCUAUGGAAUAGGUAUUAUGAUCAUCUACCUUUUAUAUAUGAGAAAGCCAAAGCAUAACGAGAUUAAGUAGCUUGUCAAAUCACACAGCAAGGAAGUAGUAUUGCCUAGGUGGACUACGUGGUCUAAUUUUAGAGUUUUUAUUUCAAAUCUCUACUCUUUAUUGCCUCUUGUAGUAAUCACUCAACAUAUACCUUUCUAUAAUAAAUAUGAAUUCUGUAAAUUGCAAUUUUUAUAAUAGUCUUUAAUAUAAAUUUAAUCAUAUGUAUUAUUGUUUUAAUGAUUUCUCAGAACAUAUGUCAGCAAGCUGCAUAUGUAACAUAAUAUGAAUUAAUUUUCUCUUUGAAAAUACUUGUAAGAAUUUUGCAAGUCAUAGUAGCUUUGCAGUUGAAAGUCUCCUUAUGAGUUUUGCAAAGUAAAGAAUUAAUCCUAAUUAUCUAGUUGCAAUAUUUUUAGCAACAAGACAGUAUCUUCAUCCUCCAGGAUUAGUAAUUUCAAUAACAUCACAAAGCCUGAUGCUUAACAGAUGAAUAUUCUCUAAAUAAUUAUAUUUCCACUCAAAGUAUUUCUUUGCAUAAUUUGGUCUUGGCUCCAAAGUGAACAUAUGUUUUCAGAUAGGUGUUAUCACCUAAGAUUUUAGUCUUACAGAGUUUUCGGGAUAGUCCAGGCAGAACUCACCACAGGGCAAAGUGCAGUGUGGUGAUGGAACAGCCCCACAGCCUGAGGAACUGAGGAUUUGGAACUGAAGAGAUUUAGAUGAAACACCAUGUGAAACCCAUACUCUAGUUCAGUUUUCCUGCUUAGUAAUAUUAGUGAAACAAUUCACUAUAGAAGGAUUUUUCUUUUAAUCAGAUAUCCAUAUUCACCUGUAGAUACCUUCACAUGUGUGGAAGCCAAGUGGCCAAGAUAACAGUGAUAUUAGAAUUCCAGAUAAACAAGCAGCCCGGUUUCACUCAUUACAUUUGCCACUGUUUCAAAGAGGGCACUGUAUAUUUCCAUUUUCACUUUGCUAAUAGCAUGCAGUUGAACCUGUCUAGUAAAGAGGCUUACUCUGGGAUUUUGAGACCAAGGUUUAUACUCUGUUUAUGUCAUCUGGCUAAAAGACACAGGCAAGUUAACCUCUCUAAACCUCAGUUAUUUCAUCUGUAAAAUGAGUUAAUAAUAGCAUCCACCCAUGUCAAUAUUAUCAGGAUUCAACAAGAUAAUAUAUGUAAGAACUUGGCCCCCAGUCCUGAUUUAAAAUGUGUCGAAGUAUACCUAUAAUUAAUUUUAGAAAUAAUGCCUUAAGUUUAAUAGAGCCAAUCAUAAUUAGUUAUAUGUUAAUUUAGCAUUGCCUAUGAUUGAAGAGAUAUUAACAAAUCAUAAUUUUAUUUAUCUUUCAAAAUUAAUUGUACCCUCACCGCUAGGAAUUCAUAAAAUACACAAACUUAUACAUGAACAGAAAUGCUUAUCGCAUCAGCUUAGUAUAGUGUGAUUUUUUUUUGGUUUCUAAAUAUUAUAAAUUGAUGCUUGUUUUGAGGAAAUGAAUUUCUAUGAAUUUGUGAAGCAAAUUUCAGAAUGCAUUAAUUCUAGAAACGUUACUGCUAAUUAGGCUGUAUUGACAUUAUCUAUUUGUAUUCCCUGGUGAGAAAGGAGGAUUCUUCAAUUUCUGUGUUGUUUGCAUCCUUUUUAAGCAGAUGAAGAAUAAAAAACGAAAUGUUACAGACCAAGGGAACAGCAGGGCCAGGUGAUUUGGGGUAAAAUAAAACACACGAGAGUCAAAGAAGUUGCACUGGAGCAUAGAGUUCAUGAAAGAGAGGAACAAGAGGUGGGGCUGGACAUAAAGGUCAAGUGUAGAAACAGCAAUACUGGAAGCCAAAUUGAAGUAUUUUGAUUUUACCUAAGGUCACUAGGAAACCAGUAAGAGGUUUUAAAUUAGGACUUGACAUAAUUAGAUCUCCGUUUUGAAAUUUUUUUGUGGUUCAGGAAUAGAUGAGAGGAAAAUAAUACUAUAAGUGAAGAGUAAAAGUGAGCUGGUUUGGGGAUGCAGUGGCAAGAAUAAGACCAUAAUUGAUUGAAGUGGAGGCUGGUCACUCUCAAGUUUCUGCUCUGGGUAAUCCAUAGUAAUAUGUACUGGAAUAGGAAACAUCUGAAGAGAGGAUGGUUUGGGGAAACAAAAAUGAGUUCAACUUCAGAGUUAAGAUCUCUGUGAGUGAUAGACAGGCUUGACAGGUUGAAGAAAUAAGCAAAGCCUGAAAUAUCAGUAGCUUAACCCAUAAACAUUGUCAACAACUGUCAAGCGUCUGAGAUUUUACCCUAUUUUCAAACUAACCAGUUAGGAGGUCACAGGUACAUACAAGGACAAUUAUUUCUGUGUCAGAAACAAAGGACAUUAGUGCUCACAGCACAGCAGGCACAUGAGCUUCAGGUUCACAUGGGUUCUCUUUGCCCACAAGGGCACACGUGCAUGCUGUGGAUGCAAUGGGUUCAUGUCACAGCUGAGGAACCCUCAGUUUAGGAAAGCGCUCAUCUUUCAAAGAAGACCACUAACCCCAACUAACCCUCCCUGCAGAGGCAGUUAUUAUCUUUACUGUGUUGGUCAGUAAACAAAUCUGCCCUCUGCCCAUGGGGAGAGACUACUGCCGUCUUCCAAGGCUGUUUGCUAUACAAACAUCCAUGAAAAGACAGAACAGAGCAAAAACUGUCACAAGACAUGUGGAACUAUCAUAGAAAAAUUUUCCCCAAUAAAAGCUUAUUUUUCUUUCACACAAAGUCCCAUAUUUGUACAUCCUCUCUUCAGAGCAUCUCUCUUUCGAUCAGUGAUUAAUGUAUCCAGUCUACUUCCUUCUUGUUGUUAUAACAUCUUUAAAUAAGAGAGACUAAAGAAAGCUUUUUGAUGCCUAUACCAAAGAACAAUGGAAAAUAUGAAUGAUUUGGUUGUUUUAUUCAUAUUCUUUGUUGAUUCCUGGUGGGAAGUUAUAAGUGGGAGGAAGAAAUCAUAAUGUACCUGCUCACCUUAGAAUCAGAAAUAUCAAAAAAGCGCACAAGGUAAAAAGUCUAAAUUGUGACACUUUUCUAGGCAUAGAGCACUGGAGAAAAGGUGGGAAUCCCCUUCGACAAUGC